CUUUCUUAUCAUAGUGGAAGGAAUUUUUUUUGUACCACAAUUGAUUGAAUUUGCGUAAAACUGUUGUCGACUUCAAUACAUAAAGUAUUAAGAUGGACAGUCCGACUUUAAAUUUGGUGAUAACAAUUGGGGGGUUUGUAAUGACAAUAGCGGGUGGUGGAGGUGUGGCAGUUCUAUUGGGUGCUGGAGUAACAAUUGCCAUCAUGUGUGCAAUUGGUUAUGUUGCCUAUAAUCAUGUGCAACAAGAGAAAGAAGCGCAUAAGAAUAAAUAAAUUGUGUUACGUAUUUUUUGCCAGGCCAAUAAAAAAAAUUGUAAAUUA